UACGGGGGGUGCGAGCGUUGUCCGGAAUCACUGGGCGUAAAGGCGCGCGCAGGCGGCUAGUCCAAGUCAAGUGGUGGAAAGCCCCGGAAGCUCAACUCCCGGAACUGCCAUUGAAACGUGUUUAGCUGGAGUAUGAGAGGAGGGUGGAAGUUGGGAAUUCCCAGUGUAGGAGGUGAAAUUCGUAGAUAUUGGGAAGAACACCGGUGGCGAAGGCGGGCUCACGUGGCUCGUUUCUGACGCGUCAGGCGCGACAGCGGUGGGGAUCGAAACUAGGA
rnacentral:rRNA from 1 species